rnacentral:lncRNA from 1 species
GUACGUAAAACCCUAUAAAUGGGCAAAAUCCCACUUUAUGCUUACCUAUGGGUAAAUUUUAUACUUCAGAACACUUCCAGUUAGAUAUUGUAAGUAACUCUGAAAGGGAAGUUGAGAGGACCGGAACAAGUUUCCGAAGACUAUUGGCAGUACCCUUAUUUUGGUCAUCGCCUGAGCUUUCCCAAUCUUAUCUCAUGCUCAUGGCUGGUAAGAAAUAUAAUUCACGAACUUUUAUCUCCU